CCUUCAGCAGCAAGAGCAGCAACUACAGCAGCUGCAGCAGCUUCUGGCCUCUCCACAGCUGACCCCAGAGCACCAGACUGUGGUCUACCAGAUGAUCCAGCAGAUUCAGCAGAAACGGGAGCUGCAGCGGCUGCAGAUGGCUGGGGGCUCUCAGCUACCCAUGGCCAGCCUACUGGCCGGAAGCUCCACCCCACUGCUGUCCGCGGGCACCCCUGGCCUGCUGCCCACAGCAUCAGCCCCACCCCUGCUGCCUGCUGGAGCCCUGGUGGCCCCUUCACUGGGCAGCAAUACAAGUCUCAUGGCUGCAGCGGCUGCGGCCGCAGCAGUGGCAGCGGCAGGCGGACCUCCAGUCCUCACUGCUCAGACCAACCCCUUCCUCAGCCUGCCCGGGGCGGAUGCCAGUGGGAAUGGCUCCAAAGGAGGGACUGCUGACAAAGGAGCCUCAGCCAGCCAGGAAAAAGGCUAACUCGACCCUGCCCCUCCUGACCCCUACAUGGCUCGAGGGUCCUUGCCUGGAGUGGGCAGCUGGGUCCAGACUCUGGAGAGCCGGGCCCAGAGCCUGUGUGGAUCUCCAGGGAGUUGUGCCUGGAGUUCCAGGUGCUGAGGAGAGAGACGACCGGAGAGGAGCCCUUCCACCAGGCCCACCCCCUCACUGCACUGGCUGCUCAGAGAGGAUCAGGGGAGGACAGGUUCCUAGCCUGCCUAGGAGAGCCUCCAUCCUCCACAGAUGCCUAGGGGCCCCCAAAGAGCAAAGUAGGUCUGGUAUAAGACGUGGAGGGAUGGUUGGACCUACCACAUAAACGAAUCAGCACUUGAAUGGGGAAAGUGAAGGGUGGGCCCCUGGGCCCAUCCCUGUGUGGAAAUUCCUUAUGGAAAAAGGGCUGGUCCCACCUGACCUCCAGUUUCUUCCCAGCAGAAGGGAUGUAUCCCUUUGACUGUUUCUUAUCAUCCCUCCCAGCUGAGGGUCUCAAGCUGAGCUUGGAAAAGCCUACAGAUGUGGUGGGGCUGAGGAAGGGCAGGAGAGCACCUCUUGGGGCCCCAUGAUGGGGCCAGGCGGGGAAGUCCUUUGCUGUCCUGCCCCUUUUUGCACUAUUGGCUUAAGGAGUGCCGAGGGUGGGGAGAGGGAGCUGCCUGACUCCACAGAUCGUGAGUGUGUGUGAGUGUGUGAGUGUGUGAGAGAGAUGGUCAGUCUGUUUAACCUGUCUGUCAAUUCUUCCUCUGGACCUGGGGCAGCCAAGGGCAAGAGUGGGAGCAACGGCCAGUACUGGAGCAGGAGCUCCUAGCUCUUGUACCCUCUACCCCCUCACUAACUCUGGUCCUUUUCCAGGGCAUGAGUGGUUAACUUAUAAAAAAGAAAAAGAAAAAAGAAAAAAAAACAAACAAACAAAAAAAUAAAACAGACCAGUACUCCAGUAUUGGAGAAUUCCUAGGGGCUGGGGCUCUGAAUCAGGGUAAUGUCCUACCUUCCCUCCUCUGGACCCCACUCCAUCUCAGGGCCCCCUCAGGGCCUCCUCCCCCACUGUUAGUUUGAUCGGUCCUGGCACUAGAGCAUAGGGGAGGGGUAAAGUGCCACUUCUUUUUUUUUUUUUUUCUGCAAAAGUCUCCCUCUCCAAAGUAGCUAGCCUGCCUCUUGAAUCCUUUCACCAGCUAGUAGAGCCACUUAAGCUAACAGCUGUCCCCUUCACCCACCAGCUAUUCUCCAGGGUGUAGUAAUAGGCAGCAGAGACUUUCUGCCCAGGGCAGUAAUGAAAAAAAACGUUGAGUGGGACACGGAGCACUGCUACGGAAGCCUGUGUCCCUUUUGGUUGCACUGGCUGGGACUGAGGGUCAGUUCCAGUUCCCUUUGCUCAUGUCUGUGUGUCUCUCUGCAUGUGUGCAUUUUGGUGUGUUUAUGUUUGCAUUUUGUUGUUGGGGUUUUCCAGUUUUUUUUUGUUUUUGUUUUUUUGUUUGUUUGUUUUGUUUUGUUUUCUGGUUGUUUUUUUUUUUUAAAUAAAGAGAAGAUGUGUAUAUUUUUGGCAAGAACAGAAACGUAGUGCAGAUAUAUUUUUGCCUGUGCUGCUCAACUGUUUGUUUUUUUCCCCCCCUAAUCUGGGAAAUAAUAGUCCUGUUGAUAAGACUGUAAGAUGUUAGGACAGGCCGGGACCCUUCAGAGGCAAACUCUUUGGCACUUGGAAGGGUUUUGGGGGACAGUUGAGAUGACCUCAGAAAUACUCACUUUUCUAACUGCUUAAUAUUAGAGAGACAUCUUCAUUUUUUCAGCUCUUGUAGGCUCCUUGUCUACAAGCCAGCGAUGCUUCGAGUCCUGAGAGGACUUUUUAUCCAGGCCCACGCACACCCUUUCCCCAGUCAGAACCAAGUACCGAGUGUCGUGUUUGCUAAGGCUGUUGCCUGUGAAGCUGGAGCUCUCAGUGCUCUGGAGGUCUGGUCUCCAUUCUCCCUGAGCUCUUUCCUACUCCGGGCCGGGCUGCCCUAACAGGUAGUCAGGUGAGGCUUGCUGAGAGCUCUGGACUAUAUGGUUUGGUGCCCCUCUGUGUAGCUGACCUAGAACUGUCUCUGUAGACCAGGCUGCCCUCAAACUCAGAUCUGCCUGCCUCUGCCUCCCGGGUGCUGGGAUAGAGGUGGGCCGGCGGUGCUACUCCACACUCUGAGACUUGAGGAAAGUUGUGGCACCGGGUGCUGCAUCACAGGGAGAAUUGUGAGGGUCCUUGAAAGGGAGCGGGAUACUGUAACAUGGCUCUGACAACCUCACUUUUUUUUUAAAUUUAUUUUUUAUUUUUUUUGACAAGGUCUACUCUUACAUAGCUUUGGUCACCCUGGAACUUGCUAUGUACACCAGGCUGGCCUCUGCCUCCUGAGUGCUGGGAUUAAAGGCGUGUGCCACUAUGUCUGGCUUUGAUCCAUUUUUUGAUAAAGAGCUUGGUAGGAGGAGGGAAAGGAUACAGAUUCGGGGCCGUCUCUGUCUGGGAGGGGGAGGAUGUGGUUUGCAGAGGGGAAGUGGAGUCGAGAAUGCAUGAGUGGAUCUUAAUGUCUCCACCCUCAGUGAGAAGACAUGAGUGAGUGAGUGACGCGUGCUGAGCCUGUGCCCACCGGGGUGGGAGCGUCAUGGCAGGUGGAUGGCACAAGGGAUCUGGCUGUAUUUAGGGGCCGUUGGAGCUGGCUUUACAGGUGACUGCUCUAAGACAGGACCUCAGUGACAGCAAUGAGGAGCCUUCAUACCUGGCCUUGUGGUUAUAACUGCCCCACUGUCAAGCUUUUCAGCUGCGGCUGGUUGGCUGGUUGUGUGUGUGUGUGUGUGUGUGUGUAUGUGAUGGGUGUGUUGUGUGAGUGUAGUAGGGUUGAGUAGGGUUGUGCCUGUGGCGGGAAGGUAUCUAUGUAGCACUGACUGUCUUAGCUCUGAGCUGACGAAUCCUCCACAGACAAUGACACUUUUAAGGGUUGCCUUUAAGAGAAGAAAUAAAUUGUAUCUCCCAUCCCCUCUCCCUCAUCCCAGCUUGUGGGUUUCCCCCUCAGGCUCCUGGGUCUACUGCUGGCCCUGGAUAGUCUGAUCAUGAGGCUGGUGACCCCUUCCCUUCCCUAUGUUGAGACCCAGGGAGUGCUCACCCUAGACUCCUAGGAAGGGCCUAGACAAAUGAGGGGAGCCCAGAGAGAGGCUAAUACUUCUAUUUCCUUUUCCCACCCUGGAAAUGCUGACAGGUUUUCAAAGACACAGGCUCAUCUUGCUAGUCUCCAUCAAACCUAAGAGUGCAGUGGGCCAACAGGCAGGGUUCCUAGGGAGAGGUGCCCAAUAGGAUGGAGGAAGGUGGGACCGGGGAGCCCCUCUGUUCCUUCCAGCCACUUCCUCCUGGAUUAGAGGUGUGUCUAGUUCCCAGCAGACCACCUUGUCUUGACCUACUGAAGAAUUGGGGACUGCAGGCUGUCCUCUCUCCUGUGUUCGCUUUCUGGGACUGAAGGACUCUGGCUCCCUUUCUUCCAUCCCAGCCUGUUUCCAUGUAGCAGUCCCUUCCUGGGGGAGCAAGGAAGGGAAGCCGCAGAUUGCAAACCCAGGGCUCAUGUUUCAUUCUUUCUGAAACCUUUAUAUCCUCAGCCCUAGAGGCAGUGUUCCCCUGCGACCUCCAAGCCUGCAAUUGUGCAUAGCCUGGGUCUUGUAUCUUUGUAUAACGGAUGUUAUUUGUACGAAGGGCAGUUCGUAAACAGCACUUGUUCUUUUAAUAAAAGAAUGUUUUACUAAAAAAAGGAAAUCUG
rnacentral:lncRNA from 1 species